GACGAACGCUGGCGGCGUGCUUAACACAUGCAAGUCGAACGAUGAAGCCGGAGCUUGCUCUGGUGAAUUAGUGGCGAACGGGUGAGUAACACGUGAGUAACCUGCCCUUGACUCUGGGAUAACUGCGGGAAACUGUAGCUAAUACCGGAUACGACCCUCGGAGGCAUCUCCUGGGGGUGGAAAGAAUUUCGGUCAAGGAUGGACUCGCGGCCUAUCAGCUAGUUGGUGAGGUAGAGGCUCACCAAGGCGACGACGGGUAGCCGGCCGGGGAGGGUGACCGGCCACAGUGGGACUGAGACACGGCCCAGACUCCUACGGGAGGCAGCAGUGGGGAAUAUUGCACAAGGGGCCCAAGCCUGAUGCAGCAACGCCGCGUGGGGGAUGACGGCCUUCGGGUUGUAAACCUCUUUUAGCAGGGAAGAAGCGAAAGUGACGGUACCUGCAGAAAAAGCACCGGCUAACUACGUGCCAGCAGCCGCGGUAA
rnacentral:rRNA from 1 species